AGCUCCAAUAGCGUAUAUUAAAUUUGUUGCAGUUAAAAAGCUCGUAGUUGAAACGAUCCACUUGUCGAGCAGUCUCUUUCGAGAGCGCAAGACAGGUGCGGGCCUUUCGCAGGUCUCUGUUACUUUGAGAAAAUUUGAGUGUUUCACGCGGGCCAGAGCUGAAAUAGUGUACCAUGGAAUAACACAGUGGUUGUCCCUCUCUUUCUUUGGUUUUAGACGGGACGAUACGUGGUUGAUAGGAACAGUCGGGGGUAUUCGUAUUGAACAGUCAGAGGUGAAAUUCUUAGAUUUGUUCAAGACGAACUAAUGCGAAAGCAUCUACCAAGGAUGUUUUCA
rnacentral:rRNA from 1 species